rnacentral:rRNA from 1 species
CCCUGCCAUUUGUACACACCGCCCGUCGCUACUACCGAUUGAAUGGCUUAGUGAGGCCUUUGGAUCCGCUUGGCCUCGAGCCUAGUGUGAGAAAUUGGACAAACUUGGUCAUUUAGAGGAAGUAAAAG